rnacentral:rRNA from 1 species
CGGGUGAGUAAUGUAUGGGGAUCUGCCUGAUGGCGGGGGAUAACUACUGGAAACGGUAGCUAAUACCGCAUAAUGUCUGCGGACCAAAGCGGGGGACCUCCGGGCCUCGCGCCAUCAGAUGAACCCAUAUGGGAUUAGCUUGUAGGUAAGGUAACGGCUUACCUAGGCGACGAUCCCUAGCUGGUCUGAGAGGAUGAUCAGCCACACUGGGGCUGAGACACGGCCCAG